AACGAACGCUGGCGGCGUGGAUAAGACAUGCAAGUCGAACGGGAUUACUUUUGUAGCAAUACAGAAGUAAUUCAGUGGCGAACGGGUGCGUAACACGUGGGCAAUCUGCCGAGAAGUGGUGGAUAGCUCGCCGAAAGGCGAAUUAAUACCGCAUAUGAUCAGGGACGACAUCUUCCCAACAUCAAAGCCGGGGCAACCUGGCGCUUUUUGAGGAGCCCGCGGCCUAUCAGCUAGUUGGUGAGGUAACGGCCCACCAAGGCUAUGACGGGUAGCUGGUCUGAGAGGACGACCAGUCACACUGGAACUGAGACACGGUCCAGACACCUACGGGUGCAGCAGUCGAGAAUUUUUCUCAAGUGGGGCAACCCUGAAGGAGCGACGCCGCGUGGAGGAGUGAAGG
rnacentral:rRNA from 1 species